rnacentral:lncRNA from 1 species
UUCUUUGAAGUCACUGCUUGAGCGCUGGAACCGCAUGCUGGAUAUACGCCUGACCGAGCUACUCUCCAUGGAGAAGGAAGCGGACCUGGCAGAGGAAGGCAGCAAUUGAUUGUUCCGCCCGGUCUCGUGGCUUCGACGCAGCAAAAGAAGGAGCAGCAUCAACCACAGCAGCAGCGCCACCUCCGGUUCUCAUGUUGGAGGCUCCUCCUCUCCGGCUCCACUGGCGGUUGCAAGUUAAAGGUCCUAUAUCACAGCAGCAGGGAAUCGUCGUCAGGAACCAGUUCUCCAAGUUUUCGGCGCCCUUUUGGAAUAAAUCAGGAGGACAUGCUUAAUGCGGCAAAGCUCAAGAUCAAGUUUCUAAAGGUGUGCAUUGUUUUCUAUCUUCUCUCCAGUUCCAGCUAGUGUCGUCUCUGCGGCUUGUUUCAUCUUGUCGCUCAUCUACAAGAUUCAUCUCAACACCGCAUCUUUGAUUCCAGAGUUUUGAUUUACCUGCUGGAGCGUACCACGCUUGAUCCUUGGUUUCUCCAGUUUUGUCCUUCGUCCUCUGGGAUGCGUCCGAAGGCGAGUCCUGGGCCUGCUCGUU